UACGUAGGUCCCGAGCGUUGUCCGGAUUUAUUGGGCGUAAAGGGAACGCAGGCGGUCUUCUAAGUCUGAUGUGAAAGCCUUCGGCUUAACCGGAGUAGUGCAUUGGAAACUGGGAGACUUGAGUGCAGAAGAGGAGAGUGGAACUCCAUGUGUAGCGGUGAAAUGCGUAGAUAUAUGGAAGAACACCAGUGGCGAAAGCGGCUCUCUGGUCUGUAACUGACGCUGAGGUUCGAAAGCGUGGGUAGCAAACAGG
rnacentral:rRNA from 1 species